rnacentral:rRNA from 1 species
UUGUCUCAAAGAUUAAGCCAUGCAUGUCUCAGUACAAGCCAAAUUAAGGUGAAACCGCGAAAGGCUCAUUAAAUCAGUUAUGGUUCCUUAGAUCGUACCCACAUUUACUUGGAUAACUGUGGUAAUUCUAGAGCUAAUACAUGCAAACAGAGCUCCGACCGGAGACGGAAGGAGCGCUUUUAUUAGAUCAAAACCAAUCGGUGGCGGUCUCCGUCAUCGUACAACUUGGUGACUCUGAAUAACUUUACGCUGAUCGCACGGUCUCGCACCGGCGACGCAUCUUUCAAAUGUCUGCCUUAUCAACUGUCGAUGGUAGGUUCUGCGCCUACCAUGGUUGUAACGGGUAACGGGGAAUCAGGGUUCGAUUCCGGAGAGGGAGCCUGAGAAACGGCUACCACAUCCAAGGAAGGCAGCAGGCGCGCAAAUUACCCACUCCCGGCACGGGGAGGUAGUGACGAAAAAUAACGAUACGGGACUCAUCCGAGGCCCCGUAAUCGGAAUGAGUACACUCUAAACCCUUUAACGAGGAUCAAUUGGAGGGCAAGUCUGGUGCCAGCAGCCGCGGUAAUUCCAGCUCCAAUAGCGUAUAUUAAAGUUGUUGCGGUUAAAAAGCUCGUAGUCGAAUCUGUGUCCCGCGCCGCCGGUUCAUCGUUCGCGGUGUUAACUGGCGUGCCGCGGGACGUCCUGCCGGUGGGCUUAGCCCGCGAGGGCGGCCCAACUCAAUCCCGCCGCGGUGCUCUUCAUUGAGUGUCGAGGUGGGCCGGCACGUUUACUUUGAACAAAUUAGAGUGCUUAAAGCAGGCCAAAACUUCGCCUGAAUACUGUGUGCAUGGAAUAAUGGAAUAGGACCUCGGUUCUAUUUUGUUGGUUUUCGGAACCCCGAGGUAAUGAUUAAUAGGAACGGAUGGGGGCAUUCGUAUUGCGACGUUAGAGGUGAAAUUCUUGGAUCGUCGCAAGACGGACAGAAGCGAAAGCAUUUGCCAAAAACGCUUUCAUUGAUCAAGAACGAAAGUUAGAGGUUCGAAGGCGAUCAGAUACCGCCCUAGUUCUAACCAUAAACGAUGCCAGCUAGCGAUCCGCCGACGUUCCUCCGAUGACUCGGCGGGCAGCUUCCGGGAAACCAAAGCUUUUGGGUUCCGGGGGAAGUAUGGUUGCAAAGCUGAAACUUAAAGGAAUUGACGGAAGGGCACCACCAGGAGUGGAGCCUGCGGCUUAAUU